GUGGGUAGCAAAAGCAAACAAUACUUAUCCACUGAACGAAAAUGUAGUUAAGGGGCUACCUAAGCUGCAUCACUACUAGUUAUCCUGUCUAUUUUCGUCUUUCAAUGACAAAGGACAGUAAUUCGGUGGAUCAAUGAUUAUUCGGUGUCUUGGAUAGAUUUUUCUAGUUCCGCUUCAUCCCAGUAAGUUGAGUCAUCAGCUAAACAUCUUAGGAAAGAAUCUGGUGCGUCACAGCCUGCAUUCCUGACAUCCAAAUCGUAGUAAUCAAAUUCAAGGUCUUGUUCAGGAUCAAAAAUUGCUGAACAAGAUUGGUGAUUAGAGACAUUUCAAUGUCUUCUGGAGAAUGGCAUCGUUUACCAAAUCUCUCGAUCCUGUCUAUCUGCUGCUGCCGUCGGAAACCUAUUGGCGACAUAGUUGAAGAUCGACUGAGAAAGUUCAUCCUACGAGAUUUCUCUGUCGACAGAAAAGCCAUCCUUUUUUUUCUUCCAAUUCCAUGUCCAUAUUUUGGGUUUCGAUUGAUGACAGUGAUGUGGCAGUAGACACCAGCUGAUAUUCGCUCGCCCCGGACCACAGACUCGUGCUGUCCUGUGACCGUUGGUCUCCGAUGGUUUUUUUGCUCUUUUGGCGAUGCUUGAAGUGGAACCCGCAUUUGCUGUAGAUUACGACGAGGAAUGAAACAGCAAAAAAGAGCAUCAGCAGUAGAGUGGAAAGAGUCAAGAUAGGCGGUGGAAGCAUGUGACGUGCAAGCUUUGUGUGACUUUCUGCUCUAACGGCCUCUUCCAUCGGCACUGUAGAUAUCGUAGUGGAUUUUGUUUUAAAAAAAAUUAAAUGUCAAUUAAAUAGGUUAUAAUUUAGUACUUAUAGAGGACUGACCGGUAGUGAUGCUGAUGACGAAUGCGGCUACACAUUUAGAGAGUGACAUAAAAUGUUUUCUAGUGACGUUGAAUUCAAUCAACAGUUGCGGGGAACUCGUCGUCAGGAUGCCAACCAUCGGGAGACUUAAAGUUUCAUUAUUAAGUAACGCGAUUAACGGCGAAAAGACGGAAAUUCCAUCCCGUAUCGCCAAUUGAUCACCCGCGUGGCAAUCCAUUCGAAGUGAACAACCAGGUGAUGUAACCGCCGGGACAGAGUGUUGAUGAAACCACUAAAGAAGAAGUACCAUCUUCCAGUUCCCUGUUGCAUCCGCACAUGCAAUCCGAUGUCAAGUUUCCGUUAGUUAGAUCAUCUUUGUCUUCCAACUCUGCCGCUUUAUCAUUUUUUUCUUUCUGCGGGCAUGGUGGUGCCAUGCAACUCACCGAUUCAAUCGGCUGGCCCUGGGGAAGAUUUUAGAAAAGUAACAGUUUAACUUAAAAUUCAAUUAAAAUUAACGAGUUAGUCUGAUUUUAAUAAGUUUACCGUGCAAAACGAACCGGGAUAUUGCGGAGACUGUCGAUCGCAGUAUCGAUAACGAAAGCGAACUCCUUUGUAUCCGCAACUGCGUGAUGUACAAACAGAAAAGGCGCUCCAGGUUCCCCACUCUGGCUCCUGGAAAACUGUUUUUUAUUGCAAAAAGAUGAAUGCUAGGGACAAAAAGGAAGAACUUCCUAGUUUGACGAUUCUGCUGUUGGUGAUCGUACUUCAACUAUCAAAAGGUAAUUAUCUAUCACUUUUUGUAUUCUGAACUCAUUGAGGAAAUAUCGAGAGUAUGCUAGCUCCUUAUGAAGUUGGUCUUUUAUGUCGUGACCAAACAUCUCAAUUUUGGCAUGGUACUUAUUUCUGGGAAAGAAACUGCGCAACGGUUUUGACCAACUUUCCAGUCAAUGUGAAAUGUUUGCCUGUUGGCAGGUUUGUUUUCCUUUAACCGUGCUUGUUUUUUUAUCGAUUUAACAGCUGUAAUUGCAUCGGGCUCUUGCCUUUCCUACUAAAGAGACCAGUAUUUUUUGUUUCUCUCAAGGCCGCUAAUCAGAGCAUCUAUAAAAAGAGCGAGCCAAUUUAAGAAUCACCAAGAACCAACCAAAACAGCAAUAUUGACUCGUUUCUUAUUGAUACAAGACCAUUGCCGGCUGAUGUUAAUCCAGAUAUGUGGGGAAGGAACUGCUACGAUUUCCAUCUACCCUGCACCAAACAAAAUAGGGAGACGGAACUGAAUUUUAGUGCAUUUUUUUUACGUAUACCCCCUUUUUCGUUUCAGGAGACCUUCUUUGCGUGACUAGUAGGCAGAGCCCCAGCCCGGUCAUUAAUCCAACCCAAAGGGGACGAAGGAGCACCCACAGAGAAUACGAGCUGAUCGCGUUCUAAGAGGGGCAAACACAACAACUCGUCGAGUACCUACUCGCCAUCCAAGUCCAUACAGUAACGUCUGUCGCUAGCCCAUGUCUAUAUUUAACCUUACCGAAUUUCUUUAAUCCCUAACUGCUUUUAGUAUUUUAUUUACGCUGCGCAGACUUGCACGUCACGGAAAAUCAAUUGGCUGUUCCGUGUUUGAUGUGGACGUCAUCCACCUUGUAGAAGCCGUAAAUCAAUCAUACGUACCUGACGUGUUUUGGUAAGGGAUGCAAGUCUGGGUGAUGUCGACGACGGCCCCGUCCGCCGUGGCCAAAGUAACCAAAUGGAAGCAAAGAGAAUCAAAUUCGGGCGAAUCGUCAAGUAAUUGGCAAGGCAAUGCCGCUACGGACCGGUUGGAGUCCAAGACCUUCUCGCCAAUAGACGGACGCGGUCUUGAGAUCCAGUCAGGCAAGCCGGGCGACGAUAGAAAACUGGCAGUUCGCGGCGGCACGGCAUGGCGAAUUUGGCCCGUACGUACAUCUGGAAAUCGCCAUUUAAAAGAACCUGCAUAGAUUCACUGGAACCGAUGAUAUCGUCUUCUUCUUCCUGGCCCUCUUGAUCUGCCCGAACGAAGAUACGGUAGUAGCCCAGAUGAUCGAGAUCUUGGCAGUCGAAUCGAAUGUCGACGCCUGUUCCACCCGUUUGCCAAAUGUUGGGCACUGUUCGAGACGCUCGAACGGAAGGCGCUGUGCAAUUAUUGCUGAAAGAGCUGUGACUACUGCGUCGCCCACAAUGGACUACUUGGGCGCUGAUAGUGAUGUUAGCGUCGGACGAAGGAUAGCACUUCAGAUGAAUCCACUGGAUUUUUACUUGAAACGGCGUGCGGUAAUUGACAAGUUCUGAAGGAGCCUGGACAAGUAUUGGCGGCCAAAAAACUCUUAACUCUUGUCGAUCGAUCCAUCGAUCGUCAUUGUGUUGCAAUUGAACGAUGUAAGACCCAGCGCGACUUAUGGCUCCACAGGGGAACGUUAUGUUUCCUUCGUCUCUUCCGGUGCCCUUGUUCCUUCGCCACUCGGCAACGGCCAAACCAUUGGCCUUUUUCAAGAUCCGCGCUCCUGUCAAGUGUUGUGAAGAUUCAACCGCCACGUUCAAAUCGCCUUGGAGAGCGAUGUAAUGGAGCGGUUCGUCUUGGUCUAAACUGUCGGCAACUAGUACAUAAAGAUUUCCGCCGCAAACAAAAGGAAAGAAGCCGUUUGUGAAUCGUGAACAAACUCUAUUGGCAGAAUCGAAUCUUUAUUGAAAUCGAUUGAUCAAACUCACCUGACAGCUUACAGAAGACGAUCACCGCCCACGUCACCCACAACCGUAGCAUUUCCUUUCGAACGCGAAACUGACGGCGACCCGAUUGCAGCACAUUCAGCACGGAUGGCACCAUACAUGUACCCUCUACUAUUCGUCAACUCCGAAUGAAAAACAGCUGACUUAAAUAGCAGUCGAUUUCACCCUCGUCGUCCGCUCGCGCACAAUACGCUCGAUAGAAUAGUAAAAGAGGGAGGAAUUGGACAAUGGAGCAUGGCCGAUGGUACACCUGGAACCGAGUUCUAGACUACUUUUACUACGACAAAAACUGGUCGGCAAUAGCUGGAUAUAGGUAUUGGGAAUGAGAGGGGCAUCGUCACGCGUUUUCUCCCCUCUCUUCCCCCCCCCCUCCGUCAAGUUACGUCUGCCCGGUCCACACCCCAGUCUGUGCCUCUCCCACAAACUUGAACUAAAGCGGGUUGACGUUUGUUUCUGUGCGCAGGUUAACUCCGGCGCACGGGAGAUUCGAUUUCCUAUUAAAUGCGAAGUGCAUUGCAUGUGAUUUAUAUCCGUUUGAUGACGCUGAUGUUUUGCUUUCUCUUUAUUUUUUUUAUUUUUUUGUUGCUGCAAAGUUUGCCCUUUUUUUUUUUUUUUUGUUUCCAUCAAGUAUGUUAAAGGUAGUUCACCACUUUUCCAAUUCACCGCCUUAUCCGCAGUGCAUUAUUUUGGCCUUUACUUGCAUACUAAUUGAUUAAAUCAAAUGUAUUAUUCAUAGUAGCCAAAGUAAUGGCGUCAUAUCCCUGACUUGCUUCUUCAUGGCACUCAUUAGGCUUUAUAUUUAGCGUUAUGUGAUAUUAAUAAAGGAAAGUCACACACUCCCAAUGGAGGAAGGGGAGCCAAAAUUAUUAUUAACCCCAUUCGCUUCCAUACCCCCUCUUUCUUUUGUCACCGAAUAACAAUAUAUUCUUUAUUUGUGACACAGGAACUGUUCGGAUCAUCAGCAGAAUAAAGCCCAUCGCAUAGACUGUAUGGCUAGAAAGAUACCGCGAGGCUUCGAGAAGCCAUAGAAGAUAUUAAACUGCAAGGUCGCAAGAUUAAACGAACCAAAUGAGACAAAGCUAUCAUAUACAGGCCAAUGUUGGUAAGUAUUUAUCCUAUGUUCAUAUAUGUUUAAUUACUUAAUGUUAGUUAUAUUGCAAUUUAUAAAAACAAAAUGACCAAGUUAAUACGAAAAAAUAACACAAGAGCUGCUCAUUUACAUCUGUGAUUGAAUGGACGCACGACAACUGAAAAUCACAUUGUGACAAUGGUAAAUUGCCAUUAAUCACUGAUCGCUGUUCUAUCUCAACAAGGCACACAUUUAUCGUUAUUCGGUUUUUUGGUAAAACUUAAAGAAUAUGAGAAGAUAGAUAAGAAUAAAAUAAAUCGAGAAAAUAAACUCUAUUUUCGCAAUUGUU